AGAUUGAACGCUGGCGGCAUGCCUUACACAUGCAAGUCGAACGGCAGGCACGGGGGCAACCCUGGUGGCGAGUGGCGAACGGGGUGAGUAAUACUAGUCGGAACGUGCCCUGGAGUGGGGGAUAGCUCGGCGAAAGCCGGAUUAAUACCGCAUACGAUCUAAGGACUGAAAGUGGGGGAUCGCAAGACCUCGUGCUCCUGGAGCGGCCGAUAUCUGAUUAGCUAGUUGGUAGGUAAAAGCCUACCAAGGCAUCGAUCAGUAGCUGGUCUGAGAGGACGACCGACGCCGACACUGGAACUGAGACACGGUCCGAGACUCCGUACGGGAGCGAGACGAGUGGGAAUUUGGACAAGUGGGGCAACCGUGAUCCGAGACAAU
rnacentral:rRNA from 1 species